rnacentral:rRNA from 1 species
UACGGGGGGAGCAAGCGUUGUUCGGAUUUACUGGGCGUAAAGGGCGCGUAGGCGGCCACCGCAAGUCGACUGUGAAAUCUCCGGGCUUAACUCGGAACGGUCAACUGAUACUGCGCGGCUAGAGUGCAGAAGGGGCAACUGGAAUUCUCGGUGUAGCGGUGAAGUGCGUAGAUAUCGAGAGGAACACCUGCGGCGAAGGCGGGUUGCUGGGCUGACACUGACGCUGAUGCGCGAAAGCCAGGGGAGCGAACGGG